GGUAAAAAUUAUUUUCAGCCUCAGUCUUUCUCCCGCUGAGGAAAUGAGCUUUUGAAAUUUCGGGACAAAAUAGAAAAACAGCAGCUACUUGCAGCUGUGUCGUCUUACACGUGGGGGACCCGUCGAGCAGGAUGCAUGACUAAAUCGUUGGGAUUUAAAAAAACAACACCUAAGACCUUUAAAAAAUCCAAAGUCAGGGAAACUGAAGGCUACAUGCUUUUGUCUCUAGUGUAUAACUCGUUCCUGAAGUGGAUGGGUUUCCCAGAUGAAGGGGGUCGUGCACCCCCAUAGGUACCCUGCGAAGGCAGAUGUUCAAUCCCGAGAAGACUCUGGUCAUAAUUUAAGAUAAGGAGCUACAAAAAUCAGACUAUUUAGACGUUUGCCUGUAUUGGAAAAAUAGCAUGUUUAGCACCUGUGUGUCUGUGCUGGGCUCAGGACUUGCUCCUUUCCCUGGGUUUGGUGUAAACGGUGAAGAGGAUGACUAGCAGCCUGUGCAGAGUUUCCUUCCAUGCUCUGGGGCUUAGCGGUUUCCCCUACCCAAAGUCCGUCCUGAAACCUGCUGCCCUCUGAAUCUGGCUCCUUCCAGUAGAAAUGCAACACACGGCUUAUGAUAAAUUUAGAGCUUAACAUAGUUUAUCGAAGAGAAAGUUAGGGAAGAAGUACUUUGAGAUGUAUUUGCGCUUCCUAUGCGAGAAGAAAUUGUCCUUAGGAGUGUUUUAGAGGGAUUAGAAAUGGAAAGGCAGAGGGCACGAGAGGGCGUUUCAGGGGCUUUGGGCAUUAUAGAGGCACAGAAAUGGAAACUUGAGAAAAAUCAAUCGUAAGACUGAGGAUAAUUAGGGUUACCAUGUGUCAUGUUUUCUGUCAAUUGGCGUCCUUUCUCCCCUGCGAGCGCAGAGGCUGCAGCUGGAAAUCCAGUGACCUCCUGUCUCAGGGAGUGGCAACGAAAAUAGGCAGUUGCAGGGGUGUCUUAAGGCUUUAAACUAUGAAAAGAAAGAUAGUGCGUGGUGGUACCUUGAGGCAGCUGGAGCUAUGACUGGCAGGUGGAGGUGACUGGGGUCGUGAAUGACUUGUGGCAGUGGGUUGGUUUUCACUGUACUUGGGUGAAAAGUUGCUGAGGGGUCAAAAAUAGGACGAUGAGGACGUGGGAACUUGUUCAUCGUUUCUGGAGAAAGGGGUCUUUGAUUUAUUUGGGAUAGGAAAGGUAUUAAGAGGUUUUUAACCAUUGGGGACCAAAGAGUAACAGCACGGCCUUGAAUGAGUUUUGGAGCCCAGGACUGUUCGAAUUGUCCAAUAAAUACUACUCCAGGUAGGUCCUACUCAAAACUUAGUCCAGUACUUGGCUGUUUUUGCAAACCAGAUUUUUUUGUGAUGAUGUUUUUCUCUGUUUUCCACCCCUCAGGAAGUUUUUAGCAGUUUUGAAAUUUUCUGGGAUCCCAUUUUCUGCAGCUGCCUUUAUUAGAUGGAUUUUGUCAUAACAUAUCACCUAACUGGAGGUGGGGAAUUAGGACCGGGGGCUCUGUGUGUUACCAUUGAACCUUUCAGAGGGUGUCAGGCACAUCAGCCAGUCUCACAUGUGGGAUUUAGACUCCCUAGAAUGGUUUGAGUUGGAAGGGACCUCUAAAGAUCAUCUAGCCAUGUCACCUGAAUGCCCAAACUACCUAGCGUGAAUCCUCUGGGAUGGAGCUUUUGCUAAAACUUUGAGACCCUAAUUUAUUACUCGUUGGUGCAAACGCUGUUCAGGAAUCACGGUCUUCUAUGGUAACAAAUCCAGCUUUUCGCAGCUGUCAGCCAGGACUGUCCCGGAGGCUCGUAGGACUCGGUACUUUGGGACUUCCUUCACGUCAGUCUCUACCGGAGGCCAACGAAAGACUCCAAAAGUCUCUUUGCCCAGGCUUUUACUGCUGUUAUGGACGCUGCUCUUUUUAAUAUGUACAUAUGGAGCAUAUAACAGGCUGGUUGUGUCUAGAGAUGACAGCGAGGCCGUCACUGCUGCCCUGUAGCCGUCACCAUGGCUGUUGACUGUCUCCGUAAGCAUAAACCCUUUAAGCUGGAUGUUUGGUCAGGCCAGACUUUUCCUGGAGACUCGUUAACCCUUAACUGCCAAGUUACUCUUCGAUAUUGCAGAUGUUCUUAAAAAGCAAAGCAAGUCAACGGGCAGGGUGUCUUUUGCUUGGUGUCUGUUUCAGGUCUCUGUUUUUCUAAUUCUCUUUGUUCCCAGGAAGGUGCUUUCCCCGUGAGUUUAGUUCAGACCUGUAAUCUGCUCCGGUAUCUCCCAUCCUUCCUGCAAGAAGAUGACGUUGUGUAUAACUGCCAUAAUUCCCAUGGAGAUAAUGGGAUUUGCUUGCAUCCUUUCCUUGCAAGAAACGUCUCGGUGCCUGAGCCCUCAACACAGCAAAAGGCUGGGAGCGGUUCUUCGUGCGCCCACGUGGCCAGUGAGGUUGGCAGGAUCCUCCGGCGAUCGUCCAGUCCAGCCCUCUUGCUCAAAGCAGGGUCAGCUGGGGCAGGCUGCUCAGGACCACGUCCAGCUGUGGUUUUGGAAAUCUCCCGUGAUGGAAACUCCGCGACCUGUUCCAGUGUUUGACCACCCGCACAUUCUUCUUUUUUUUUUUUUUCCCCUAGUAUUUAAGUGGAAUUUCAUCCUUUUGAGUCUAUGCCCGUUAUCUCUUGUCCUUUCCUUGGUUACCACUGAGAAAAGUCUGGCUCCAUCUUUACACCCCCAUCAGGUAUUUAUACACGUCGAGGGGAUCCCUGUUCAGCCUUAUACCCAGAAACCUGAAUGGCUGAAAAAACAGUGAUAUAAAAUACUUUGAGAAAUCGCUCCUGGUUUAAGUUUCAAUAACCUGGCCCAAGGCAUGACGCCUGUCUUGGGAUGUUUGGCUUCUGUCCCCGCUGCUGGGAAGAUUUCAACCGCAAGCGAUGCAAAAUCUGCUGCUUUCAGGGCUCUGGGAAAUAAACGCAGUUAUAACCAUUGUCGAGGCAGCUUGGAGGGAUGGUAGCCAUGGGCUUUUGGGAGUGUGAAAAUAAUACCAGGAAAUAGUUUGAAAUUAUACCCAGAGAGGCUGGAAUAAGAUUUUCCUGUGGUGUGUCACGUGGAGAUGAUCUGCCUCCUCCAGAGUCAGGAUCAGGCACUUUCCAUGGGGUGUCCACAUGUCCCAAAGACUGCAAAAAACAGGACUUUGUUCAAGGUUAUGAAUUUAUCCAGAAAUUAAUUUCUCCCAGAGAUACAAGAACUCGUUAUUUUAUGGGGUUUUAUUUAUUUUAUUCUUUGCUGGGUUGGGGUUCUUUUUUUGUUUGUUUCCUGUCAAGGUUUUUUUUUUUUUUACUUUGUUUGAACUAAAUGUCACAGUGAGAUGUCAUAGCAAGCCUGGGCUAUUUAUAGCGGAAAGCAGCAGUAUCUUGACUUUCAAAGUCUCUAGCACAGAAUUAAAAGUGCAACUUUUCUGGUCAGGAAAUGGCAAAGGUUUGUUUUGAAAUAAGCAGUAAGAGCAGAGCCUGUAGUAUAAACAGCAGCUCUGGGGGACUGUGAGGGAGGGGAGGUGCCUUUCUGGACACCGGGUCUGCGUAAAGUGUUACUGAUCCUGAGCCAAAAGUGAUUAUUUUUUUUUUUUUUCCUGCGGUGAUUGCCUUUCUCCUUGUCCUGACAGGUGGUAGAAGACGGCGUUUUUCCCUCCGUAGUCACACCUUUGGGACUUUGUCUCCUUUCGUCACUUUGCAGCCCUUCUGCUGAUCGCAUCUGCUGAGAAGGGUGGGCACAGGAAGGAAAAAAUGCAAGUUCUUUCCAUCUAUCGUCGCAGUGAAGAGCGGACGUGUCUUACCACUGCAGCUGGGAACGUGGCUGCUUCACGUUCGCUCGAUCGUGUUGUUUUAGAUCAAAACGUAGAAGUUAUCUACGAGUUAUUUGAAUAAUAUGCUACGUCAAUGGUCCACGGUGGUAGGAAGAACUGUCCUCCGUUGCCGUCUCUCCUCUGACGCUUAGCAAAUUCUGCAGUCCCCCGAGCGCAGCCUGAACUCGGGAGUUAAAGGGCAUCCUUAAGGGGCAUCCCAGCCUAGCAAGGGGUGAGCGUGGAGGGUCUGCAGAGCAGGAAGAGCACGAUCCCACUGCGGCUGAAGUGAAAAUCCAACAUAAAGGGCCAAGACAACGAAGCGUUGCUUCAACAGCUCUUAAAAAAAUGUUUGCUCUCGGCGUACAUGAGUUUCGCGUGUUCUCAAAGCGUGAGGGGGGCAUCCCCUUCCCAUCCCAUCUGGCCGUUUUUCUUAAUAUGAGGAUGGUAGUAAUGAGAUAAGAAAAAUCCCCUUUAAAGCAGGCUGUCUAGCUAGAAAUUUAUCUGUUGGUUUUUUUUUUUUCCCAAAAACAAAUUAGUUAUUUAAUUGGAAAAUAGAGCCUACUCUCUAUUCAGAGGCACUACAGUUGCUUUUUGUAAUAAGUUAAAAUAGGAACAUGUGAACUCAUUAGGAAAAAAAAAAAAAAAAAAAAGAAAAGAAUUGACCUAAAUUGUGGCUAAAAUCCUUUUGGGAAUGAAAAGGUUUCUGUUCAAUUGUUUUUCGUGUGUGCUCUGUUUUCUGUUUUUUUCUCCUUGGUUUGUUUUGGACGUGAAAUAGAAAUACUAUAUUGGUUUGAGAAGAGGUUAAAAACAGCAUGAGAACAAACCACAAGAAGUAGGAAGUCGCACAAGUUUAGUGAGAACAAAGUUUCGUAGCUGCAGUGUUCCCAGAAAUAGGGAUAUUUGUUUUCCUCUCCUGACUCGUGCUCGUACGUUCUCCCUGCAGCCACAUUUGGACGGCGGUGACGCCAGGCACGAACAAAGCGCUGUUGUGAGCUCCCACUUUCUACUGUCUCUUAAUGUUAAAGAAGUGUCCGGAGAAGGAUUUGGGUGCUCAGAAAUGUUUGUUUCAACUGCAUCGAUCUACAGCUGGAUGCAAUAGCUGUUAGCGAGCACUGUGCAGCCUUCUCGUUUUGCAUGAAAAUGUAUAAUAGAGAUCCAUGGGUGACCACGGCAUGGUUUUAGCUCUGAUUUACGGCUCCUGCUUAAACCUACUAUGUAAAUGUGCAACAUGCAAGCCCAGAAGUUCUAAUUUGAGAACUGGAGGGCUGCCUUCCCUGAAAAGCAGUGAUUUUGGUCAGGAUCGAGCCUGGCUAGUUUUGCCUUGAGGACACACAAACUCCUUUGGUUGCUGAUGUUGCUUCAGUGCCUCCUUCUGAAUUUGUCCUGAGGGAUGGACACGUUCUCCAGCAAUAGGUGGGAUUGAGGAAAGCAAAGUCACAAUAAAGAUCUGCCAAAGCAUGGUGCAGGAAGACACAAGGACAACCUCUGUCCCUGGAGCUUUAGUCCCCUUGCAGGAGUUGAGCAGAAGUGAUCUGGAAAUUGCUUGCCUUGGGCGUAUGUGGUAUCCACAGAUGGUGAGUGGGACGUGGGAAACGGUGGUGUGCAGAUGCCGGCAGGACAACUGAAGGGGAACCACCGAAAUCCCCUACUGAGAACUGCAGCUCCUGUUAUGACUCAACUGGAAGAGAGAAAUGAUGCUUUUUGCCAAUAUGCAUUUAGUUCCUUAUUCUGCCAUUCAUGCCGCGACAUGUGAAGUGAAGUCCAAGAGCGAACAAAAAAAGGUGGACUUUCAUAAUAGCGAUUCUAAGCACGAAAGCCUUUUGCUGAAGUAAGGAAGACCGUAUGGCAUCCAAGUGACUAGGAGAUCAUCCAGCAAUGGUCGAUUUUGUAUCGGUACUAAGCAGCCAGUCUGAAAACCACAAGGGAGUGCUUCUGUGUCGGGGUAAAUGCAUUACCCUCACCAAGCUGUUCAGAUGGUGAGAAGCACAGCUGGGAAGCCUGCGCCUUCCAGGUCAGGAAGGACGCAGAAGUCCUUUUCACGCAGCCUAUGGCAAAAAACCCAUCGAUGGCCUUAGUGGACUAAUAUCUCGCCUCCCAUCCCUGGAAACAUUCCAGGUCAGGCUGGACGGGGCUCUGAGUGACCUGAUCAAGUUGAAGAUGCCCCUGCUCACUGCAGGGGGUUGGGCUAGAUGGCCUCUGAAGGUCCCUUCCGACCCAAACCACUCUGUGAUUCUCAUCAGGACCCAUCCCACUACCCUCUUACGAGCUGACCCAACGGUGCUAUGCACGGAGCUUUUAUCCCAGGUUAUGGACAUAUAUAAUGAUGUAUUUUUUCCAGUGGAAAACUUUUAUAAGAACAAGGUGAUUUUUUGUGUGUGGUGUGUGUGUGUGAAAUUUCUCUCUCUCCUCUAUUAGUGUUUUUCUUAUCCUCGGGCCUUUCAUCUUGAAUAAAUACCAGCAGGUUGCUGACCAGCUUCCCUCCUUUGGGGAAAACAUGCCUUUGUGGUGAAGAUGCUGAACUAGGGCUCACAUCAUCUGGGUUAGACAGUCUUCAUGACCCCAGGCAAAUGCGUUGGGGCAUCUCCCUACUCCACAGGGUAGCGUAAGGAUAAAAUCCAUUUGUGAUUCUGAGUUGCUUGGAUACUGUGUGGACGUAGGGCUAAAUAAAAAAAUAAACACACAGAAAAAAGCAUCUUCUAGAGUUUUCCCUCUGGUCUCCAGCCCUCCUUAUGUAAUUAAGCGACCCCUGUGUCUUUGCUUGGGCUUGCCAUCCCGAGCUGCCGCUCUCGCUGCUCGUCUGGUGUCCUCGCUCAGCAGCUCCCCACAGGGCCCUGCAACUUCUCUCCCUAAUUGGCAGCUCCUACUUGGCAAAUCAUCGCCCUUUUCCAGCAGGAUUCCUCCCUUCCCUGCAAUGUCCCUGGGUGAUGCCUGAACACUAAAACACCAACCGAUGCCGUCUUCCAGGGCUUUCCCCGCACCCUCUCCUCGGAGGAAGCCUGUGCUGUUGAUAAUAAGCAGUGCUUAUUUUUAGCCUUAUCUUGCUAUUAGGUUAUAGUGUUUAUAUAUAUAUAUAUAUAUAUAAAUAAAAUCUUUAUUAUCUAAUUCCAGGCCAAGAUUAUGAGUUAGACUGAAGAAUCCUUAAAAGUCAUGGCUACAACUAUACAAAUAUUACCAUGCAGCGAUGCC